UUUUUGUGUUUUUUUU
rnacentral:sRNA from 1 species